UUGGAGGGCAAGUCUGGUGCCAGCAGCCGCGGUAAUUCCAGCUCCAAUAGCGUAUAUUAAAGUUGCUGCAGUUAAAAAGCUCGUAGUUGAAUUUCGGGACCAUCAUGUCGGUCGUGCCUCGGUACGUACUGGUAUUGUUGGUUUCUCCCUUCUGACGAACCAUGAUGUCAUUUAUUUGGUGUUGUGGGGAAUCAGGACUGUUACUUUGAAAAAAUUAGAGUGUUUAAAGCAGGC
rnacentral:rRNA from 1 species